UCAAGAUCCCAAAGCUUGUAGGUAUCUAUAUAAUAGGUUAAACUUUCAGUAUUUAAACUAUUGCACAGGUAUUCUCUGGAAGUACUUAAAAAUGGUGUUCAGAUUAAAUUUACAAAUAUGUAAACUUGGCCCCAUCCACGAAAAAUAGUCCCACCAAAUAUCCCGCUUGUGAAAUAAUGCGGGUGGGCAGACUAGAGAAGUUUUAGAGAAGUCAUCUUUUUUUUUAAAUAAGUAAUUGUGUGACAGCAUUGGAAACAAAGUAGUCACUGCAGUUUUGAAAACAGACUCCUGAUGAAAGGCGAAGAGGAAACCUUGGGUUUGGACUUCUAAGGAAACACUGGUAUGUACCUUACUGGCAAGGAUUUCUUCAGACUCUGCUUUCAUUUAUGUGUGGAGUUACACAGGACAUGUAUCAAUCCAUAUAUUUCUUCUCUCCAAUUUAAUUCUGCUCUUUAUUUCCCAAAUAAAUCAAUUUCAUUCUACAUCAUGAGCAAAUGCUGCUGUCUCUAUAAGCAUCUGGCAUAUUUUGUGUCCCAGAAGUUGUAUUCUCAUUCCCUUAUUCCUUGAUGUUUGGAUCUCUGUAGUAAACUGCUUGUGGUGGGAGGAACAAGAGUUAGGUGCUGAGCAUUCACUCCUCUGCCUUUGUUUCUCCUAGGUUCAGGUGUCCUUCACCCGUGAUCCUUGAGGACAGGAGAGCUCUCUAUUCCAAGGAGACUUUAAAGCUAAACACAGACCAAAAAAAGGAAGGACAGAGCGGUCCCGUAGCUCCUACACUCAGGGAGGAUAGCUGAGAGAGACAAGCAAACAAAAGAAAACCCUAGGAUUCUAACCCAGCUGAAAAAACUUGUUCCUAAAGAGCCAGAGAGAUUGAAGCAGCUGAUUUCACCCUUUAGUCCCUCAUCAGCUUCUGAAAAAUCAGUGAUUAUAAAGCAUAACACCUACGCUGUAAAAGGAGCUUCUGAUAAACCACAGCAGCUUCUUAUUACCCACUGUCUAUCUGAGCAUGAGCUGAAUGGUUUAUUGAUCAUAUUUCUUCCCCAUAUGCUUGCA